UUUAUUAAUUAAAUGACAUUAUCAUUGUUAAAUUGAUAUUAAAGUUUAGCAAUAUAAGUUGUUUUACGUAGAUUUAUUAUUUACUUUCAUAACAACUUCAAUAGAAACGAUGAUAAUGUCAUUUAAAUGAAAGUAAAUUGAUAAUAACCAAGCUAAACCUAGUAACAAAUGGCAAUCAAUUGGAGAAUGUAAUAUGUUCCUAUCAUAACUUAUUGCCAUCAUGAUGAUUAUUGCUGAAAAUUGGAUCUCUCCUUGAUUUUUGUUUUCAAAUCAAAUAGAUUUAUUAAGAUUGGGAUGGCAAUUUAGCUGAACAAUAUUUCAAGAGCAAAAGAGGAAUGGAUAAAGAAUCAAGUCAAGGAUCGUAAUUUUGGCCACAACUCUGAAUAUGCUGUGCAAUAAGACGAUGCCUUGUUGGAUGCCAUUUCAAGCCGUCUUUCAUUAUCAUUAUCCUGGAGAUCCAUUCGCAAUCAGAUUUUUAUCACCAAAUUGUCAAUUAAGUUGACUGAUCAAUGACACAAAGACAGGGGAAAACAGUAAACAGAGAUUAAAAAAAGUAUGAUCUCAAUCAUCACUGCUUUACGCUACAUUGAGCUGCGUAAAAUUUUGAUUGCAACCAUUUCUCUGGUUAACCUUGCAAACCAAUCUUCCCCCCUGAUUAAUUGAUCCUGUUAAGACCUAAUUUUUUCUAAUUUUGUCAAUGUUCUGUUGUUGUCAUCAUCAUCAUCACCAACACCGCCACCAACAAAUGCCAAUUGACUUGAAUCAACUGAUUAACUAUAUUUUUCAUUCAAUUUCACUUUAUAUUAUCAAGGUUAAUCAAUGUUAUUCCUAGUUAUGCUUUUUCACUUCACUUUUCUGUUUCAUCAUACAAAACAUGAUUACUUUGCCUCCAUUAAUCAAAGCCAAACAUAUUGAAAGACCUUUUAAAGCGAUAAUAAUCAAAGAUGCUCAAUCCCUAUCAAGCUGACACUGGAAAGGUAAUCUUUUAUCCUGAAAUUUCCAGUCCAAUAUUGAAACAACAGUCAACAUCGGUAAAAUUGGCCUUUAAUCCAGCAAUCCAUUGACACUCUCAUCAUGAACCUUUGAGUAGCCAUUUAUGCUUAUCUUAACAAUCCUAGAUCAAGAUUGUUACCAGAUUGGAUUUUGACCGUUUAUUUUAAACGCAAUGUGCUGAUGAUGGAUUGAUAAUGAUUAACAAAAAGUCACAUGUAAUGUGAAUGUAAGUGUUGAUUAGAAACUCCUUCAAUUGUAGACAAUUUAUAUUCACAAUCAAUGACAAGGACAAAAGGGAAAAGACGUAACAAGACCAACAAUCAAAGACUGUACAAAAAAAGCAAGAUUAAAUUGAAUGGAGUAAAAUCAUAAAGUGAAAUGAAACAAAUUAAAAGCGUAAUCAAGCAAAGAAAAUUAAAUUAAUAUCGGAAGCAAUUUAAUCAUCAUUAAUCAUUAUUAAUAAUUCAUACAUAAAAAUUGCCAAUAACCAGAGAGUUUUGUAAACAUUACAUAUUGAUAUGCACAGAAUGGCAAACUUAUGGCAAGAAACAAAUUAAUUGCUUACAAAAUUGCUUCAAACCCAUUGUAAACUUGUUACAAAUUUAUUACUGUCUCAUAAUGUAAUCAUCGGCUCUUUUGCCUUUAAUGGUUAUCCUUCAUAAUUGCAAUUAUAAACCAUCAUUAUUAAUAUAAAAAGAAGACAGAUUUACAGUGAAAGAAUUACGAUUUAAUUGAUUUACCUUGAUUGAAAUGAAUGAAAGGCCUUUAAGGUUCGUGUGUGACUUCAACUUAAAGUUAUUACAAUCAUAUUUACAUUUAUAUUACAAAUGGUUUUGUUAUUUAUUUAUUAUUGAUUAAAUCAGAAUUUUAAUGAAAAAUAAUUGUUGCUUAAAUUCAAUCAUUUAAAUCAUUGAAAUUAUUGAGAUGAAACAGAGAAACAUAAUUAACAUGGGAAAUGAAAUGAAGAGAAAAAAUUUUACCUCAUUUUCAUUUCUAAUAAUUGUUAGACAUUUUAUAAUAUGUAUUUACAGCUGCGUAAUUAACAUUUGCCAACAAUUAAUCUUAAUCAACCGUAAUACCAAUCAAGUUUGAAAAUUUCUUCAACUUGAGUCCAUUUAUUGUAAAGGUUAAUUCAUUGAACACUUGUAUCAGUU